rnacentral:lncRNA from 1 species
UUUUAGUAAUAGUAAAAGUUCAAUGAUAAGUUAAUAUUGAUAUUAAAAGACCUCCGAACAAAAAGGGGUGUUCAGAUCCCCGAGCCCGAAGGGCGAGGGGAUUUGAACAGCCCUUUUUGUGAGGAGGUCUUUUAAUGUCAAUAUUAACUUAAUCAUUGAACUUUUACUGACUUACAAACCGUCAAAAAUAUAAGAAAAGUACAUAAAAAGCACUUGCAGAAACCCAAUUCCCCUGAACUGGACG